rnacentral:rRNA from 1 species
AGUGAACGCUGGCGGUAGGCCUAACACAUGCAAGUCGAACGGCAGCACAGUAAGAGCUUGCUCUUACGGGUGGCGAGUGGCGGACGGGUGAGGAAUACAUCGGAAUCUACUUUUUCGGGGGGGAUAACGUAGGGAAACUUACGCUAAUACAGCAUACGACCUCCGGGUGAAAGCAGGGGAUCUUCGGACCUUUCGCGAGUGAAUGAGCCGAUGACGGAUUAGCUAGAUGGCGGGGGAAAGGCCCAGCAAGGCGACGAUCCGUAGAUGGUCUGAGAGGAUGAUCAGCCACACUGGAACUGAGACACGGUCCAGACUCCUACGGGAGGACGCAGUGGGGAAUAUUGGACAAUGGGCGCAAGCCUGAUCCAGCCAUACCGCGUGGGUGAAGAAGGCCUUCGGGUUGGAAAGCCCUUUUGUUGGUAAAGAAAAGCAGCAGGUUAAUACCCCGCUGUUCUGACGGUACCCAAAGAAUAAGCACCGGCUAACUUCGUG